rnacentral:rRNA from 1 species
AGUGAACGCUGGCGGUAGGCCUAACACAUGCCAGUCGAACGGCAGCACAGUAAUAGCUUGCUCUUACGGGUGGCGAGUGGCGGACGUGUGAGGAAUACAUCGGAAUCUACUUUUUCGUGGGUGAUAACGUGGGGAAACUUAUGCUAAUACCGCAUACUACCUACGGGUGAAAGCAGGUGAUCUUCGCACCUUGCGCGAUUGAAUUAGCCGAUGUCGGAUUAGCUGGUUGGCUGGGUAAAUGCCCACCUAGGCGACGAUCCGAAGCUGGUCUGAGAGCGUGAUCAGCCACACUGGAACUGAGACACGGUCCAGACUCCUGCGGGAGGCAGCAGUGGGGAAUAUUGGGCAAUGGGCGAAAGCCUGAUCCAGCAAUACCGCGUGGGUGAAGAAGGCGUUCGGGUUGUAAAGCCAUUUUGUUGGGAAAGAAAAGCAGCAGGUUAAUACCCCGCUGUUCUGACGGUACCCAAAGAAUAAGCACCGGCUAACUUCGUG